GAGGUGGAUAUGAGAUAGAAAAAACUUGUCACGCAUUGUAGCGCAAGUUGUUUGUACCUACUUCACAUCAUUCCAUUGAUAGGAUGCAUGACAGAAGACAACUAGAUGAGUUUCCUAAAACAAAAACAAACUUGUUGUCGAUUUCAAUUUUUCUUUGAAAACCUUAUAAAAAGAAACGAUUUUAUAACAGUUUCUUAUUAAUUAUAUUAAAUUAUUUUGUUUGGAAUAGGAGGGGGAUGUGUGAGUGGAUUAAACCGAUACCGCGUUAUUCGUCACAAGCGUCAGGAGCCAGUCGGCCAGUCAAUCGGCUAGCAAGCCAGCUAGCCAGGUAGCGCGUCGUUCCCUCAGUAGUUCGAGAUCGAGUGGCUCGCCGGUGUUGCUUCCGGGGCGCAGACCUCCGGACAGGUCUGCACAAGCUGAAAACGGAGUUCCUCAAGAAUCCACGCUUUCUGUAACGCUAUUUUUAGUAGCCAUGCAGCCAUUAUUUGAAGUAAUUCCCGGAAACAUUGAGGUCCUUUUAUACGCUGAUGAUGUGUUUCUGACAGCCAAAGGUGUGAACAAGACAAAUUCGCCAGCAGCUGAAGGCAGUUGUCAACUCUGCCAUCAAAUGGACGGAGAAUAUUGGUUUUACAAUCUCGGCGCCAAAGUCUAAGCUCAAGUACAUAUGCAAAAUUUUUAAACGAACGCAAACACUUACAGGAUCUCAAUGAAACUUGAGGUUUCCUCGAAGAGAUUCCUUUUUCUUAACUAUAAGCGUACAUUUAUCGAGAAUAUGAUGGCUAGCAUCAGGUACUAUCGGCUUCUGAGAAAUAUUGGGGACAAAACACUAGCGCCAAAAUAAUAUUGACGAAUAAGGCUUUAAUUAUUAAUUCGAAAAUUUUAACAGCAUGCUUUGGAAUUUUUGUUUAUAUCUUGUGGAGAAAAUUUAUUUCGUUAUUUGUCAGAGAUAGUGUCAGCUGCUGUUUCUACUGUGUAACCAGUGUGAAGCAGACACUUUAAAAUGGAUGGACCAGAACUCGGACGUUAGAACUGGCAGGUUUGUCGGAGCAGCAUUUCACUUUGUCCCUUCAGUGAUAAUUCGAAUUUGAUACAGUUACUGAUAAGUAACUAAUUGCUGGGCCCUCGAAUUGGAAGAAGAGGAAUAAUAAGAAUUACUUCGCUACAAAUUGUCCACCCUGCCUGUGAAGGAUAUCCAGAAACCGCUUAGAACCCUCCCAACCUUCGAAGAAUGUCAAAAAUCCCUUUAUCGAUGUGGCUGAAGCUGAUGCCAUCAAUUUUAGACCCUAAAAUGAGACGCAUGUCAAAUUCCCGUGUUGAAACACCUGUCCACGAAAACCAACUGGUACUACUGGUGGGUACCAGAUAUCCGAAGGGCUCAACAGAAUGUUGAGCUAAGGAAAUUAAGGAAAUUUUACUCUUUUCGACAAUUCCCGACCCUGUCUUCGAAUUACUUUUUUUUUUUAUCCCGAUUGCGGUCGUGAGGAACUUUCACUUCCGUACCUAUAACUGCUGCCGCGUGUCGGGGCUGAAUCAUCUCAAGUCCAGCCAGUGAAGAUUUUCUAGAUCUAUUGUGGGAUGAACUGCUUUUUUUAUAAUUUCAAAAUUAAAAUAUUUAAUACCAUCUAUUUUCGUACAAGAAAUAAAAUCAAUCAUUACAAAAAUUGUUUUUUUCUAUUUCUCAUUUUUCCUACUUUCAAGAGACUACGAGAAACAGCGCUAAAUGUUAUGACUUAAGAAUAACCAUUUUCAAACUUUUCCGCAACAAUUCCUUCUUGUUGAAAAUCAACUACAUCAUCUUUUCUCAAGAGAAGUCGAAAAAUCGACUUCUGUGGGAGAAAAACUUAACUCAGAAAAUUAAAAAAAAAAAAAAAGUGUGUUCCGUUUGUAAUAUUCAGGUGGUUUCGUCAGCCAGGCGCAAAACUUAUGUGUUUGCAAGCUUGAAUGCAAGUUGGAAGCUUGAAGACUUGUUCGCUGGUGGCAGCACUGUAAACAAAAAGUUGAUGUCCCAGACUACUUGUUUGAAAGACUUUUCAGCCGGGUAUCUUGAUAGAAUAGAAUAUCUUUGCUAGCAUCUUACAAAUGCUAAAACCACCAUCCCACAGAAAGUGUGUAUGCCGUGACCGGGAUCCGAUUUCAUGCUCGCUGGCUUAGAAGAAUUGAAGGCUAUCCUCAAGGCCACGGGCUGCGGCAAACACCGUUCGCAAGCAGACCCAUCAAAUUGAACGAAGAACCCAUACCGCAAGUUAGAAAGAUGAGGAUUUUAAGUGUACUCCGAGAGUCCAAAAUUUAAUUUUGCCAGCACUUUACUCAUGUGCAGCAAAGCUGCUUGAAUCGAGCCAGGAUUUUAAAAAUACUUGGGUAUAAGCUCAAGAGACGUCACCGCAAAACUUUAUUACAGGUUGGCAACUCGAUGAUUACUCCAGGUUAUUGUAUGGAGUUGGUCUAACCAGCCGCAGUAUCAGUGUUUGCUUACUGCUGGGUAUAAUAAAGCCAGCACUUUUCGUUCGAGUUCCUUAGUAGUUUUCAUCUUAGUUAAAGCUGGCUGCUUAUCUUUUCGUCUUUUACUGACCCAGCGAUUAGCAAACUGAGAAUUCGAAUGGCAGAGAAUAGAGAUACGUAUUGACCGAUUACAUCGUUAAUUGAAAGGUCAAGUCAUAUUUUCCGUAAAACCAACAACUUGGCUAUCCCAAUUAUUUAUCCAGUC